UAGAGAAGAUGAGCUGGGUGGCAAUGGUCUUCUCCAGGAUCCAAGAGUUGACUCAAUCCUAACCCUAACUGGUGGUCUUGAGGGUUAGAAGAAAAUGACCCCACGGAGAUGCGAUGGGCCCAGUGUAACUCAUCUGCAUUGAGAAAGGUCACCCCUGCCAUCUCCUUGGAGACAGUUUCCUUGGCUGAGGAAGGACCUGCCUGAGGAUUCAGCCCCAGUGCCAGCACAUACAAGACCAGGACAGUGAG
rnacentral:lncRNA from 1 species